UUCCCUCAAAUUUAGAUGAUGCAUACUGUAAAGCAGCACAUUUAUUAUUUAAGCGCUAUUAGCCCUAGCAUUUGAUCCACACAAUGGAAUACAGCAGGAGUGCACCCUUCUACCAGCUCAGAAAUGCCUGCUUACCAAUCUGCGUUAAAGUCCAGCCCAGCAAAACACUGCACAUUGCCAGCAAAACUUACUUCUACAUUCUUUUAUGUUCUGUUUGCUACAAGCAACCAUGAAGCUUGGUUUCAAGGAUUAAUUAGGGGAGAGGAAAUUGAGCAAUUUUACUAUGGAGAAAAAUUUUUCUGUAUAUCAAUUGCACCUACCCCUUUUCUGAUCUAACUUUUUGUUGAAAGGCACAAUGGGAGACAAAUGACGACAGUGUCUUAUCAUGGAGUCAUGGGAGAAUAUAAGAAGGAAAUGCAGACUCCAGAAACCACAGUUAAUGAGAUUACUCAGCUCUUCUGGGAAGACAAUGUAUUCUAAUGAUGGCCCAUUCCGCAUGUUGUCUUUUUUAGUGACACUCCUCUCUAUCCACAGGAUGUGUGCCUUGAGCAACCAGCAACCAUGCUGUGAAGAGGCACAAACCAGCCUAGACAGAUAGAUGAGAUGGAUAGGCUUACAUGGAGUGGAACUGAGGUCCCCAGCCAGCAGCCAGCAGCCAGCAUCCACCACCAGCCCAGUGAGUAAAUGAAGCUUCAAAUGAUUCUACCACUCAGCCUUUGAUCUGCUUCAACUGUUGCAAUGCAGAACAGAGAUAAACUAUCCCACUAAAUCCUGACCAAAUUACAGAUUCAUGAACAAAACA